rnacentral:siRNA from 1 species
ACUUAGAAUACGCUAUGUUGGA